ensembl:lncRNA
AGGCUCCUUCGAUUCCCGGAAGGUUCGGUUUAGAGGCUUUUCCUCCCACGGAUCCCUUCCUCCUCGUUCGCCUCCCGAAUCCCCGAGGGGCUGCAACCGCUCGGUCGGCCUCUAGACUGGGUUCUACAUCCGCAGCCUCUCGGUGGCCCCGCGCCCGCUCCCGGCGUCUACCCCGCCUCGCCGGGCGGCUCCCACUCCCCACGGCCGCUGCCCAGCCUGCGGCUUGCGCGUUGGGCGAGAACUGCAAACCAGGCUCAAGAGCGCACCCGCGCGGCACGGCCUGCGCGCCGCUCCCCGAGCCUCUUGAGUCCGAGCCGCGGAGCAGAGACCCGGCCGGGCUCGGGCUCGGGGCGCGACCCUCCGGACGCCGCCGCCUGCGCGGCGCCCCUGCCCCGCGCGCUGCCCCGGACUGGGAAAGGAGCCAGAGGCAGCGAGGUCGACCUGCGCGCCCCCGGGCUCGCACGCAAAGAGGAGGGGUCUGAUGAAGGGUGAGGGGCGCCCCUCCUGGAGGAGGCACCAGGACCGGCCUGGGAGUGGCGGACUGGAUGUCACUGAUGCAGAGCCGAGACCCCAAAGGGGGCCAGAGUGGAGGAGAGCCCACCGCCUUUCCCGUGGACCCUGGGACCCGGAGGAUGACAGUCAAGGUCGGAGCCGCUGUCUUCAAGCUGUCCUGUCUUUGAGGGGCGCUCAGACCCCCUGGACCAGGAGACUGUGAACUCUGCAGAGAAGGACGGUCUGACUCACCUCUGAACACCGGACCAGCACAGGAGCUGUGACCGCGUGUGGUUUCACAACAGAGGAGGCUCUGAUGCAUGUCUGCACCCCUGCUGUGGCUCCUCUCUCCUCUCAGGAUGGCCUGGCUGGGAGGAACUGACCCAGGCAGGUCAGUCGGACAACUGAGGGUGUACAGGGAAAGACCAGAGGGACACCAUGGUGGGGGUUAAUGUGGAAAAGAGCCCUCCCCAAGCCCAUCCUGGGAGAAGUACCUAGAAGGAGGUGGAGACUGUCCCUUCCUGUGCCCAGAACUUCAUAGUGAUGACGACAAACACCGAAAAACCAAGAGCCAUGCAAAAAGAAACGUGGCCAUCUUACAUCUAAGCAAAGAGCCUAUUCCCCCAUAUGUAAA